rnacentral:rRNA from 1 species
CCUACGGGAGACAGCAGUGAGGAAUAUUGGUCAAUGGUCGGGAGACUGAACCAGCCAAGCCGCGUGAGGGAUGAAGGUACAGAGUAUCGUAAACCUCUUUUGUCAGGGAACAAAGGCGGGGACGUGUCCCCGGAUGAGUGUACCUGAAGAAAAAGCAUCGGCUAACUCCGUGCCAGCAGCCGCGGUAAUACGGAGGAUGCGAGCGUUAUCCGGAUUUAUUGGGUUUAAAGGGUGCGCAGGCGGUCUGUUAAGUCAGCGGUAAAAGCCCGGGGCUCAACCCCGGCCCGCCGUUGAAACUGGCAGUCUCGAGUUGGAGAGAAGUAUGCGGAAUGCGCGGUGUAGCGGUGAAAUGCAUAGAUAUCACGAAGAACUCCGAUUGCGAAGGCAGCAUGCCGGCUCCACACUGACGCUGAGGCACGAAAGCGUGGGUAUCGAACAGGAUUAGAUACCCCAGUAGUC